rnacentral:rRNA from 1 species
AUUGAACGCUGGCGGCAGGCCUAACACAUGCAAGUCGAGCGGCAGCGGGAAAGUAGCUUGCUACUUUUGCCGGCGAGCGGCGGACGGGUGAGUAAUGCCUGGGAAAUUGCCCAGUCGAGGGGGAUAACAGUUGGAAACGACUGCUAAUACCGCAUACGCCCUACGGGGGAAAGCAGGGGACCUUCGGGCCUUGCGCGAUUGGAUAUGCCCAGGUGGGAUUAGCUAGUUGGUGAGGUAAUGGCUCACCAAGGCGACGAUCCCUAGCUGGUCUGAGAGGAUGAUCAGACACACUGGAACUGAGACACGGUCCAGACUCCUACGGGAGGCAGCAGUGGGGAAUAUUGGACAAUGGGGGAAACCCUGAUGCAGCCAUGCCGCGUGUGUGAAGAAGGCCUUCGGGUUGUAAAGCACUUUCAGCGAGGAGGAAAGGUUGAUGCCUGAUACGUAUCAACUGUGACGUUACUCGCAGAAGAAGCACCGGCUAACUCCGUGCCAGCAGCCGCCGUAAUAC